UACAGAGACUGCAAGCGUUAUUCGGAUUCACUGGGCGUAAAGGGUGCGCAGGCGGCCGUGUGUGUGAGGCGUGAAAGCCCGGGGCUCAACCCCGGAAUUGCACCUCAAACUACAUGGCUAGAGCAUUGGAGAGGGUAGCGGAAUUCACGGUGUAGCAGUGAAAUGCGUAGAUAUCAUUUGGAACGCCAACGGUGAAAACAGACAGCUGGGAGUGUGCUGACGCUGAGAUACGAAAGCCAGGGGAGCGAACGGG
rnacentral:rRNA from 1 species